UGUGGCUCAGGGGGAGAGCGAUACUUUGCCAAGGGAUAGGUCGAGGGUUCGAAUCCCUUCAUUGAU
rnacentral:tRNA from 1 species